GAGUUUGAUCAUGGCUCAGAAUGAACGCUGGUGGCGUGCCUAACACAUGCAAGUCGAACGAGAAACCUCGAGCUUGCUCGAGGAAGUAAAGUGGCGAACGGGUGAGUAACGCGUGGGUAACCUGCCCUUGAAACUGGGAUAACCUGCCGAAAGGCAGACUAAUACCGGAUAAAGUCCUUAUGGUUAUGGCUUUAAGGAUGAAAGAUGACCUCUUCAUGAAAGUUGUCGUUCAGGGAGGGGCCCGCGUACCAUUAGCUUGUUGGUAGGGUAACGGCCUACCAAGGCUACGAUGGUUANCUGGUCUGAGAGGAUGAUCAGCCACACUGGAACUGAAACACGGUCCAGACUCCUACGGGAGGCAGCAGUGAGGAAUUUUGCGCAAUGGGGGAAACCCUGACGCAGUAACGCCGCGUGAGUGAAGAAGGCCUUCGGGUCGUAAAGCUCUGUCAAGUGGGAAAAAAUUCUUAUGGUCAAUAGCCAUAAGAACUGAUGGUACCAUUGAAGGAAGCACCGGCUAACUCCGUGCCAGCAGCCGCGGUAAUACG
rnacentral:rRNA from 1 species